AGCAUACCCUAACGGGUUCAUCUGUUUGGUGUUUUCUUUUUUUUUUUCAUUCUUAUUCUCCUGCUCUUGCGUUUCCAACCAGAAAAAAGAAGAAGAAGAAUCUAUAUCUCAAGCAUCAAUCAAAGUAAAAUUUUGAGGAAUUGAAUCUACAAUUGGUUUUCUCUUUUCUUAUUCCAGGCUAGUGUUGAUAACCCAUUUCCAAUUGCUUUCAAAAGUUCCAUUGUUCUUUUUUUUAGUCUUAUUAUGUAUUCUUUUAUGUGAAUCUUAAGUGGAUUAGAUAUAUGUUUUUUAAUAUUUUGUGUCCAAUGUUGAAAUUGAAAGUAAAGAAAGUUAAGAGAUAAUGAGAUUACCUUCUUGUUAUGUUAUCUUUUGUCUUGAUUUACUUGCUCAACGUUUCCAACUAAUUUUUAUCUCAAACCACUGUUCAAAUCUUGUCCUAAUGUGGGUUCUUGAGGUUGUAGGAAGAUUCGUGGCAAACCACCCAAGUUUCAAGUUUCUCUAUCCUUAUUUUUUUUUAACCUCUUAUCCUACAUUUAAUCUCCUUUUACUUAUCAGUUUUGAAGUUUCAAAGUUAAGAAAGAUUUCAUUUAAUAUUUAGAUGAGAAAGCAGGUAGUAGCCUGGAAAAAUCACCAAAAUGUUCUUUUUUUAACUUAUGAACCCCAUGCUCAUGUCAAAAUAAGCAUUAGAUACUGGUUUCCAGCAAAAAUACUUCCAAGGCAAAUGAAAAUUUAAAGCAACGUAGCCUACAGUGCAAUUGAUCUCCUUAAUAAAUAACAGUUCUAUUUACUUCAGUUUUCAUCAAUGAAAAAUUUUGGAGAAUUGGAAAAACAAUAAUUUUAAAACACACACAUAGCAGAGAAAAAUGUGAGAUGGCAGUGAAGUAUGGAACUCGGCUAUGCUCUAUUUUUGGUUCCGUGAGGAUUUUGACGUGUUUAAUGACAUGAAUGACCUUGGUCAGCUAAUAUGAAAGUAGCAUGUUGGGCAUGUUUUUUGGUAAAAUAAAAAGGUGGUCUUGUUUAACUAAUAAGCAUUAAGUUAAUGAAGGUGAGAUUUGCAUGUUUCUGUAAGAGAGAAGAGUUGGUCCAUGGUGUUCUUUAGUUUAAAUUUUCAGACUGUUCUUGCCUCUAUGAUGUUGCCUUUUUCUUUAUCAUUUGUAAUAAGGUUUGACCUUUCAGCUGAGAGACAAAAGAGUUCAUGAAUGAAUGGCCUCAGGUGUUAAGCUGAAUCAUAAUUAAUUUUUUCCCUAUAGCAUGUGCAGAGUUCAUCAAUGGCAUGUAAAAGAAAACAUGCUGCCACCCCUUGUACACGGAAAAAGCCUCCACCAUCAGCUCCUGUACAGAAUACUAGGACUCCAAUGUAAAAUUUUAGUUUGUGUUUCGAACUCCGGAAGAUGAAGAACGUUACUACCAAAAGUUCUGUCACCAAGAAGUCAGGGCUGGAAGGGUAAGGUCUCUCGGACUCGUAUUGUUUGCGUGAUCGGGACCGUCGCUGAAGUCAUCACAACGGCUGAAAUCUUGUGGUAUUGUUUUUGUUGUUGAAGAACAUUUGGCAUGUAUAGGCUAUUAUAUUUUGUCGAAUUGUGGGUUGUAAACUUUAAGCCAUGUGAAAAUGGCCUAUGUGGUCGUCGAGUGGGAUGCUAGAACCUAUAGCCACGAGUCUUAGAAACUCUAAUUUUGAUAAGGCGGCCAUAAUUUGUUUCAUGUAUGAUGGAUGAUUAAGGCCAAGGGAAAAUUCAUGAAA